rnacentral:rRNA from 1 species
AUUGAACGCUGGCGGCAGGCUUAACACAUGCAAGUCGAACGAGUGGCGGACGGGUGAGUAAUGCUUGGGGAUCUAGCUGAUGGAGGGGGAUAACUACGGGAAACUGUAGCUAAUACCGCGUACCAUAGGAUGAGCCCAUGUGGGAUUAGGUAGUUGGUGAGGUAACGGCUCACCAAGCCGACGAUCGCUAGCUGGUCUGAGAGGAUGACCAGCCACACUGGGACUGAGACACGGCCCAGACUCCUACGGGAGGCAGCAGUGGGGAAUAUUGCGCAAUGGGGGCAACCUGACGCAGCCAUGCCGCGUGAAUGAAGAAGGCCUUCGGGUUGUAAAGUUCUUUCGGUAGCGAGGCGUUAACGACAGAAGAAGCACCGGCUAACUCCGUGCCAGCAGCCGCGGUAAUAC